rnacentral:lncRNA from 1 species
GAAUGCUGAAGACAUUGACAUGCGUCCUGCAGAAUGGGAGACCCUCCUCCAACCCAUCAGAGAGUUGCUGGAAGGCAGAACCAGCUGGAUAGUUUGAUGGGAUACAAAUGCAUCUGCAACUACAGCCUCUUAUGUCAGACCCGCUGUCCGGCUUUGGAAAGCUGAUACCCACAGGCUUUGCUGAGCAUGCUGUAUUCACUGUUACUCAUUUCGCAGCUCACCAGUAAAGAGCUUUGAUUGCUCUUGCAGAGGAUGAGAGUUCAGUUCCCAGCACCCACACCAGGUGGCUCUAGCUCUAACUCCAACUCCAGGAGAUCCAACGUCCUCACCUGGCCUUCUCAGAUUGACAAAGGUUUUUAAGAGAGGUGAAAAAUAACGAUAGUGCUUGGAACUGUCGAGGCAAGAGAGGUGCCACAACCCUCCGUGCCCCUGGCUCUGCCACUUCUGUCUGUGUGACAUCAGGAUGCUGUUGUAAGGACCUCCUAUGCUCAUCAACUAGAAGAAUCAAUAUUACGGAAAUAAGUGGUUAUACUACCAAAACCAAUCUGCAGAUUCACUGCAACCUCCAACAAAAUUCUAUUGCCUCUCUUCACAGAGACAGAGUGGGAAAAACAGACUUUAAGGUCACAGGAUGCUGGAGUGACGUCUCAGUGGUUAAGAACACUGGCUGCUCUUCCAGAGAACUGGUGUUCAAUGCCCAGAACCCACAUGAUGGCCCAUAAGCAUCUGUAAAUCUAGUACCUGGGGAAUCUAACUCCCUCUUCUGACACCAGCCAUACAAAUGUUGCACAUAUAGGCAAAACACCCCAAACAUAGAAAAGUUGUGUGGAAGCACGAAAAAUUCUGCAUCACCAGAACAACCCUAGCAAAAAAGCAACAAUGGCAAAGGCAUCACCACACCUGAUUUCUACCAAUGCCCUUCUGAUUAUGGUUGGUUUCAUUUAACGUAACAAUCUCCAGGUCAUUUGUCAUGUCAUGCCACACAUGGUCAUGUGUCAUGAUUUUAUUUUUCUUUAUGUCUUAAAAAAAUCCUGUUGUGUGUGUAUGCAGAGUUUUGUUUAUUGAUUUAUCUGUUAUUGGGUGUCUUGGCUAGUUUGUUUAUUGGCUAUCAUUAAUAAGACAGAAAUAAACAUGGAUGAACAC